ensembl:lncRNA
CUGGGGUCCCACAUUUCUGUCCUUGUUUUUAAUGCUUACCCAAGUAUUUGGCCCAGUCACUGAACCUCUCUGUGCCUCAGUUUCCUCAUCUGCAAAAUGGGGGUUAAAUGGGUUUUUUUUUGUAAGGUUUUAUUUGCAAUUCUGGAACAAGAGGUGCUUAAAGUAGCACAAAGUGCUUUGUAACUGUUGUAAAUGCUAUAUUGUUUGACUUCCCUGUAUAAUGAAAUAGUUAUUGAUUUUGGUUCAAACAGCAUAGCAUUACUGAAGCUUCCCCACCAAGCUACUUAGGACAUUACUAGCAAUAAAUUGUCAGAUUCAAAAUCACAAUGUUGUAUCAUCUAUAACAAAUACUAUGUCAUUUCAAAUCUAAGCACCUCCUAUGCUCUCCCGAUUGCAUAAAUACACCAUCAAACAAGACUCCAUUGUCAUCACAGGAGAGCUAACCUCACAACCCAGGGUUGGCAAGAACAGAAAGCAACAGAGAAGCCUGAAUAUUUCUUUCAAGGAAUGCCAGAUGAUGUGUCCUAAUGCAAACAUAAAAAUCAGAACUAUCCAAUGGACUUUUUUGUGCAAAUAAGAUACACUUGGCCAGAGAUUUAAGAGUUCAUUUACCUAUGUUGUCUUAGCCAAGCAUGCAUCUCUUUGAAAUUGACUGAAGUAGUUCAAGAGAAACAAAAGCUCCUAUUUAGCUUCAUCAGGAUAGUGAAUUUUCAUGAGGGAGAAGAAAUGCACAGACUCUAUUUGAUAACCAUUCUACAAAACAUUGUCAUCGGCUUCACCAUCGCUAUCUAAAUGCCAUCUAACUUUUAUUUCAGAUGAAGAAUUAGACUAGUGAUGACCCUCUUUGACUUAGGUCAUAUCAGUUAAAUUGCUGCUAAAAGCAAGGUUUUAAGAAUGAAAGCAUAUAUUUUGCUUUGAUUUUUUAAUUAAAUCCAGAGGCAACUUCGUAUGCAAGUGUAUGGUUCUGCCCUGCUUAGGAGGUAUGGCCAUCACUGGAGUCAUAAAGGGUCUCCACUUGCUGUAGAAGAAAUGAAAUUUGCCAAAUCAUUUGUGCCGUAGUAUUUUGUUUCAUCCUAUGUUUUUUUACUUUAAAUAAAUCUUGCCCAAGUUUUCUUCUGCCUAUUUAUUGUUAACUUUUUCUAUAAGCCCAUUAUAAAAUUUGUAUGUUCAUAUCCUCAAUGUAAUUGAUAAGUACCUUAUUUAAAAAUGAUGCCUAUUGUUUUAACCUGCCUGGGUUCACAGAAACUGUAAAAAGAGUAUCUGUUGUUUAUAUGUUGAUAUUUAAAUAACCGAACCAUUUCUGCAAUGUUACAUCAAAGUAGAUGACCAAUGUACUCUAUAUUAAAACAUAUAAUUGUGUUCUUUUCAUCUGUCAAAGAGUGGAGUGAAGCACACACACACACACACACACACACACACACACACACACACACACGUGUGCAGAAUAAGAAUUGUAGGAAUCAAUUGUGCCAUUUGGGAGUCGCAUUGCUUUUGUGACAAUUAACUGCCCUUUAUCCCUUCACCCUUCCCUCACUUUCCUCCUUUUAUUUUGUUUUUUUUUUUUUAUGGUGGUGCUAGAGAUUGUGACAAGGUGCCUGAGUAUUCUCGACAGUACAGAGCUGUAUAUUACCAGAUCCUUGCCAUGGUAAUGUAGUAGGUUUAGGGAUAAAAUUUCAUCUACUAUGUCGAAACAAAACCUUUUGAAGUAUCAAUAAUGGAAGUAGAUCUUAGAUGACUGUUUAUGGCAUGAGCUUACUGCUUCCAGGAUGGACCCACAUACCUCUCCAGAGGACCUCUGUUCUAGGUGGGAAAGGGAACAUAAGAGAAAGAUCUCUUCCUUCCUGACUACUUUAUAAUUUCCAUAUAGAAUACUGCCUAGAGUGAAUUCCAGACAUGUCUACAGAAGGACUCACUAUGGUGGAAGAAUGGGGUUGGUCCUCAGGAUACCUCUUCAGGGACCAAAUUCUAUUAUUCCAUUUCAGAGAUGAGCAGAACAAGUUCUCACUCCAUCCCUGAAUUUAGAAGUUGAGUUCCUCCUAAAUAAAUCUUCUAUUGCUUGGAAAACUUGAGUCCAAUUCUUAAUUAGUAAUUUAAAAGAUAUAUGUAAAGGGUAGUACAGGAAAAUGGAUUACAAUUUACUACAUUCAAUCUGUGCCAAACCUAGAUUACAAAUGAUUGACUUAAUGGAUCUUUCUGGUUUUAUUUUGCUUUUCUGUACAAAAAUCUUUAUACCCAGUAUAUUUCCAUUUUUGCAAUAUACAGUCCCUACAGGGUGGCAGGGUGCAAACAAGCAAUCUUGAGUCCUCUUUGCCCACAAUGAGGAUUCCACAUUCUUACUAAAGAAUCAGAAAUAUACUGAGAACCCAUUAGAAACUGUAACCACUUAAGUUUGACAGACACCUCACAAAAAUGUGCCUAUUAACUGUACCAUCUCCCUACAGUAAGGCAGAUCAACAUCCAACAUGAAAUAUACAUAUUCACACAUAGGUAUUAUGUACACAGUAUGAUGGUGCAGGCAUUAACAGAUAUGUCCUUCAGACCUGGACAGAAGACUUAAAAAAAAAAAAAGAUGCUUUUCUAUGCUGCUAGGCAACUUGGUUUUGUUUAGUAUAUGGUGUCUAUACUCACCCUUCAUUUGGCUGCCUCUUGGUCCAGCUGACCCACCUUCCACCCAUUACCACUAUUUCCUGUUGCCUGUGAAUUUUCAAUGACCCAGUAACCCUAAACCAGAAAUUUUUGUCCCUAGACUCUCAAUGAAAAACCCAGAGCAAUUUACAGUAUUAACAUCAGUCAAGAGUCCUGUUUUUUUUUUAUCAACUAAACUUGCAUCUCAAGAAGCUUUUGUGCAUGAUCUAACCUACAGUGUCUAAUUCUGUGGGGACUUAAGUUUAGAACAAAUAGGAUUGAAUCCACAAUUCCUUGUGUGUCUACUGAGUAGUGUAGCCAGGGGACCUGUUUCCAAAGCAUUCCCACAGUCACCUGCAUUAGUCAGGGUGUUUCCUGUCUCAUCAGCAUGAUUCUGUAGGCUACUUCACUGCUUACUAAUGAGAGGUUGAACUUGACUGGUUGCAGCAGAGUGGUUAUCUGAAGUUCAUGGGAUGUGUACAUGUACUGUAUGUACCACCAUAGAGAGUGGAAUCCAUUUAUUGUAUGUAAAGUUUUAUGAAUGGUUAUUUUAUAAUUUAUGUAUUUAAUAUAACAAUUAAUGAACUCUGGUGUUUUAGUUUCUAUGAAAAAUAAAACAAACUGCAUUUUUAAGAAAAACACCUUGUGCUAUUUCUAAGCAUAAAAAAACUUAUAACUCAAUUCAUAACCUUUUUAUAAAAGCAGGGUGAGGCAAAUUAAGAUUAACAGUAUAAUUUUGUAAAAUAAAAUAAAAUUCAACAUCAAGAAAAAGAG